GUGCCAGCCGCCGCGGUAAUACGGAGGGUGCAAGCGUUGUCCGGAAUCACUGGGCGUAAAGGAUGCGCAGGCGGGGCAGCAAGUCAGAGGUGAAAUCCUGCGGCUUAACCGCAGAAGUGCCUUUGAAACUGCUGCUCUUGAGUCCUGGAGAGGUUGCCGGAAUUCGUGGUGUAGCGGUGAAAUGCGUAGAUAUCACGAGGAACACCAGAGGCGAAAGCGGGCAACUGGACAGGUACUGACGCUGAGGCAUGAGAGCGUGGGGAGCAAACAGGAUUAGAAACCCGAGUAGUCC
rnacentral:rRNA from 1 species